GGGCGUGGCGUGGGCGCUUCCGGCACGAGCGUGGAGUCCUCCGAGGCUCUGCUGGUGGUGCUGAGAGUCAGGUACCUCCUGCCGCUAUCGCCGCCGCCCGCGUCCCUGCGUGUUUCGGGAGCCGCCUAGUCCUCGGACCACUCCGGCGGCACUAUUGAUGGCUCCGCGGAAGAAUUCCAAGGGCGGCGGCGGCGGUAGCAGCAGCGGCAGCAGCAGCCCUGCAGCUCGAAGAGAGCUAAAGCAUGGCGGACACAAGAAUGGGAGAAAAGGAGGGCCCUCUGGGAGUUCAUUUUUCACGUGGUUUAUUGUCAUUGCCUUACUGGGAGUCUGGACAUCAGUAGCUGUCAUUUGGUUUGAUCUUAUUGAUUAUGAGGACGUUCUAGCUAAAGCAAAGGACUUCCGUUAUAAUUUAUCAGAGGUACUUCAAGGGAAGCUAGGAGUCUAUGAUGCUGAUGGUGAUGGGGAUUUUGAUGUGGAAGAUGCCAAAAUUUUAUUAGCAGAAGGACCCAGUGGGAAAACCAAAAGAAACACUAAGGCUAAAGAGCCCCAGAAUAUUGAAGAUGAAGUAAAAGAAAAAAUUCAGUUCCUUCUCCAUGAAACAGUACACACAGACCAUGAAGUGCAUGCUCCCCCUGAAGAAGAACAGGAAGUACUACCAGAAGCAAAUAAAAAGACAAAUGAUCCAGACCAAAAGGAAAAAGUUAAGAAAAAGAAGCCAAAACUCUUAAAUAAUUUUGAUAAGACUAUUAAAGCUGAGCUUGAUGCUGCAGAAAAACUCCGUAAAAGGGGAAACAUUGAAGAAGCAGUGCAUGCAUUUGAAAAACUAGUACACAAGUAUCCACACAGUCCACGGGCAAGAUACGGGAAGGCACAGUGUGAAGACGAUUUAGCCGAGAAGAGGAGGAGCAAUGAAUUGCUGCAGGGGGCCAUUGAGACCUACCAGGAGGUGGCCAGCCUGCCCGAUGUCCCCACAGACUUAGUGAAGCUAACUCUGAAGCGGCGGUCAGACAGACAACAAUUUCUAGGUCACAUGAAAGGUUCCCUGAUGACCCUACAGAGAUUAGUUCAAUUAUUUCCUAAUGAUACUUCUUUAAAGAAUGACCUUGGAGUGGGAUACCUCUUGAUUGGAGAUAAUAACAAUGCCAAGAAAGUUUAUGAAGAGGUUCUGAAUAUGACACCCAAUGAUGGCUUUGCUAAAGUGCAUUAUGGCUUCAUCCUGAAGGCACAGAACAAGAUUGCCGCAAGCAUUCCCUUCUUAAAGGAAGGCAUCGAAUCUGGCGAUCCUGGCACUGACGAUGGGAGAUUUUAUUUCCACCUUGGGGAUGCCAUGCAGAGAGUUGGGGACAAAGAGGCAUAUAAGUGGUAUGAACUUGGGCACAAGAGAGGACAUUUUGCGUCUGUUUGGCAACGAUCCCUGUACAACGUGAAAGGGCUGAAAGCUCAGCCAUGGUGGACCGCACAGGAGACAGGCUACACGGACUUGGUGAAGUCCUUAGAAAGAAACUGGAAGGUAAUUCGUGACGAAGGCCUCGCAGUAAUGGACAAAGCCAGAGGCCUCUUCCUGCCCGAGGAUGAAAACCUGAGGGAGAAGGGCGACUGGAGCCAGUUCACCCUCUGGCAGCAAGGAAGAAAAAAUGAAAAUGCUUGUAAAGGAGCUCCUAAAACCUGUGCUUUCUUAGAGAAAUUCCCCGAGACAACUGGAUGCAGGAGAGGACAGAUCAAAUAUUCUGUCAUGCACCCGGGGACUCACGUGUGGCCUCACACAGGACCCACAAAUUGCAGGCUCCGAAUGCACCUGGGCUUGGUAAUCCCAAAGGAAGGAUGCAAGAUCAGAUGUGCCAGAGAAACCAAUUCACUUAAUAGCAGAAAAAGGGAAGGAGGGGACUCUUGGUUCAUCCUCCAAUCCGUCUGGAAAAGAGCAUCUCUCAAGUCUUUACUCAGUUUUGGCAUCUUGGACCGAUGACUGAUGACAUUCAUUCUCGGAUGGCAGAGUGGAGGGUGUGAGUCAAGCUGGAUGGCCGCAGGAAUGACCACAAGGAAGAUGUGUUGGUACACCUGACUGCCACAAAGAAGAAGAACCCCAGGAAGUCCCGUCGCAGUGCAGGA